AGACGACCCUACAUUUGCGCUGACGGCGCGACGGAAACCAUGGCGAAUCUCUCUGCUUCUACAUCGGCGAACCCAGAGAUAGAGUCUAGAGUACCUGACGAAACUCGAACAGCUCGUAGUCGUAGCUUAUACCCCGAUAACGAAGAGUUUCUCUAUACAUGUGCUCCAAUGAGUCGCGCUGCAAUGAGAGGGGAUUGGAACGCAGCCAGCACAAUAAUUAAUGGUUGCAACGAGAUAGUUCGCACAGCCAUUACUAUUGAUUUUGAUACUCCUCUGCAUGUAGCAUCUUCAAUGAAUCAAGUAGCAUUUGUCAGAGAACUUUUGAAGAAGCUGCAGAAUAAUGAUUUGGCUCUUCGAAACAGAUUCGGUUUCACAGCACUCUAUUCUGCAGCUCAGUCAGGGGCUACAGAGAUUGUUGAGAUGAUGAUUGACAGGAACCCUAGUCUUGCACAGAUACCUGGAAAUGAGGGAGACCUUCCACUGUUGAUUGCAAUCAUGCUUGGGCACAAGGAGACAGCUUCACUUCUCUUCGAGAGAACAAACUUCAAUAUCAUUAACAAUGAGAUGUUGACAAAGCUCUUUCAUAAUCUCAUAUAUUCAGAUUUCUUUGAUUUUGCUGUGAGGCUGUUGGAUAGAACGAGCACAGUAGCUGCCUCUCAAGAUUCCAACGGCUAUACAGCUUUGCACUUGAUGGCUUUAAAGCCUUAUGCUCUCUCGCCUAACCGCAUGUUGUCCAAUUUCUUCCGUGGAGAAAGAAUGUCAUCCUCAGCUCGGGAACUGAUAGAAAAUCUAUGGAACCAUUUUGUGAAUCAACAUGGCACCUUCACUUCAUUUACACAGCCAAAAAAUAUGCUUUUUGACGCUGCAAGUGUUGGGAACGCAGAGUUUCUAGCUAUUAUCAUCUCCAAGUUCCCAGAUCUCAUUUGGUUUGUUAAUGAGAAGAACCAAAGCAUAUUCCACGUAGCUGCGGAAAACCGUCAUGAGGGCGUAUUUGGUUUGAUCUUCGACCUAGGUCCUGCAAAGAGUAGAAUUCUAGACUUAAUUGAUAACACAGGUUGCAACAUAUUGCAUCUUACGGCAAGGCUACCUCCAUAUGAUCGGCUUCAAGUAGUAUCCGGAGCAGCUUUUCAGAUGCAGCGCGAGCUGCUUUGGUUUGAGGCCGUGAAAAAUAUGGUACCCCCUAGAUGCAUAGAAAGCAAUACUAGUGAGCAUAAUACACCAGAUGUCAUAUUCACAGAGGAGCAUCAGGCUCUGCGGAAAGAAGGAGAGAAGUGGCUAAAAGGGGCAUCAACUACGUGCAUGAUCGUUGCAACUCUGAUUGCUACUUUGGUAUUUGCUACUUCUAUAUCUGUCCCUGGUGGAUUCAACAAAGAUGCAUAUCCCGUUUUUGCGGGCAGCAAAUGGUUUCAGACAUUUUACGGUGCAGCUACUGUGGCAUUCAUCUGCUCAUCACUGGCCAUUAUACUCUUCAUGUCAAUAUUGACAUCCAGGAAUUUUUCUAACGAAUUCCGGACGAUGCUUCCUUCGAGCCUGAUGUUGGGACUUCUCAUGCUGUUCGUAUCUAUAGUAGCAAUGGUCGUAGCCUUUUGUGGCGCCGUGAUAGUUAUGCACCAUUCAAAGAUUGCUUGGAGGGCUGGCACUUUAGUGUGUUUGGCUCUCUUCACCGGGAUAUCAUUCAUAGCAAUGCAUCUAAAACUCCUCGUUGGUAUGAUCCGUGCAUCGUAUUGGUCCAAAUUCUUCUUGCAGCAUAGACGUCGACGUUUUCUGUAGAGGUACUUAUCCAACUAAGUCGAGGGAAUCGUCUGGUGAUUAUAAGAAUGGAUAAAAUUGCAUUAUGUCAGGAGGUGCUCAAGUUCUUCUGAGAGGAUAGCAGAACACAUCUAUUACGCAGGUCAUUGUUCGGUAGCUUGUUUGUCGUUUGUUUUGUAAUAAUACUCUUUUUAAGUUCUCCUAUCUCUGAUCUACUCUGUAAUCUCUUUCCUUAUUGUAAACCAAUUACUAUGAACACCGAUCCAUGAGCUCAUAACAAUCAAUUACAAUGA